GGUAAACCGAGGUUCCCCUUGUAGAGGGUACCCAUAGGGACUCUCAUGCCAAAUAUCAGCCCAUUUGGUUAAGAAUUGGCCUGUCCCCAGCGGUUUAAAGUUUACAUGGAAAUUACUAUGGGAUUUUUGUGCUUUUCGUUCAAUCGAUCCUACAGGCCAGGGGACAACAUGGAUUCACUCGGAAUAAAGACAGGUGUGUAGGGGAUGGUCCAAUGAACACAUUCCAGAAGGAAAAAGGGUUGUCCGUUCUGUCCCCAAGGUGCGCAUUGGAUCGACGUCCGGUGUCUCAAAAACUACGAAUGCCGACGCCAAUUGAGCUUUUAUUUUCAAUGGUUACUACGUAGUCGUGAUGUGUUUUGAAUGGUAAACAUGAAACAAAUGUCAGAACGUCUCAAUGGAAGCAGAAAGCUUUAGUUUGCGGUCCUGGAACCAGGCUAUCCUGGUGGGAAAUCUGGAGUGAAAUCUGCCCCUGCAUCGCACCCCGACGAACAGAGAGCUUUUAAGCGCUCUUUUGCACCGGAAUCGAUACGACAAGCUUUCGAUCAAGAAUGCCGCCUUGGAAAUCUCCCGGUUGGCGGAAAGUGCUUUAAAUGUACCACGAAGAAAGAUCAAUGCCCAUUUGCAAGAUUUGUACGACACUUGGAGAGGAAUUUACAAGCAACAAUCCCGAACCACUUCGAAAUCGGAGGAGGAUAGAACUCAUUUCAGGACGGAACUAUCUCCUGCUCGUCAUCCCGUCCGAUCUCGCCUGCUCGCCAUCCCGUCCGAUCUCGCCAGCUCGCCAUCGAGCGUAGUCCUGUCCAAGUCAACGUCCAGCAACAAGUCCGAUCUCGCCAGCCCGUCAUCGAGCGUGGUCCUGGCGUCAUGUGCAAGUCCGAUGUCACCAUUCAGCGUAGUCAUGAUUCUUCGAAAUCGUCAUCCGACUUGGUCCUGCCCAGCGCAGCCUCAAAUAAAAAAUUUCAUUUACUUAUUGUUGUGUUUCUGUUUUUACUUCAUAUUACAAAUACAUAAGAAGAUUAACAAUUUCUUACAUUAACCGUA